UACGUAGGGUGCAAGCGUUAUCCGGAAUUAUUGGGCGUAAAGAGCUCGUAGGCGGUUUGUCGCGUCUGCUGUGAAAACCCGAGGCUCAACCUCGGGCCUGCAGUGGAUACGGGCGGACUAGAGUUCGGUAGGGGAGACUGGAAUUCCUGGUGUAGCGGUGGAAUGCGCAGAUAUCGAGGAGGAAUACCGAUGGCGAAGGCAGGUCUCUGGGCUGACACUGACGCUCGAUGCACGGAAAGCGUGGG
rnacentral:rRNA from 1 species